rnacentral:rRNA from 1 species
GUCGCUGGCGAUUGGGCGGUUCGCCGCCCGNCACUCGGCGAGAANUCCAUUGAACCUUAUCAUUUAGAGGAAGGAGAAGUCGUAACAAGGUUUCCGUAGGUGAACCUGYGGAAGGAUCAUUG